rnacentral:lncRNA from 1 species
AGGGACCGGUAGGCGCCGGGGUCAGCGCCAGCGUUUGAUGUGCGGCGGGGAGCGGGCCGAGCCCCGGGAGGCCGCUUCGCACCUCCCAGUGUGUCCGGGUUGAGCGCGAGGUCAGGAGGGGACGCAGAGUUCACGGCGAAGACGGAUCGCGGGGGCUCGUCCCGCCCGGGUUGCGCGCAGCGGGGGCCGCGUGAUGGAUGGGCCGGGCCGGGCACCCGGGAACCCGCGAGCGCGGGGCUGGGCUCUGGGCUGCGUCCGGGGGCCCCGACUUGGUUAUUGAUCGGCCCAAGCGCAGGAGAACUGACUCUAUAAUGCAUCGCCUGACCAGGAAAAGUGUUUGCUUUUGUGGGAGCAAAAGACAACUUUCUGCCCCGCCAGAGCGUUGCUAAGUGAGCGGUAAUGACCACGCUAGAAAUUUCAUAGGGAGAGGCUAAUGGCAGGCUGACUCUAAAAGUGCUUUUAAGUGCAACUUCUGUCUAAUCCCUUGAGGGGGAAGAAAACAUCGGCGACUAAGAAAGUUCAAGUUGUACAGGACCCGGGUUUUUGGGGUCGGGGUCACUUCUGCUCUGCGUGACUUUGAAGAGGAAGACCUGCGGUUUUUUCCAGUGGAUUUUCACACGUGUUUUAAAGAGAACUCCCGGCUCCUGAAAUGAAAGGCCCGCCUGUAGGGUUUUGCUGCCUCCCCUCUGCCCACGCCCCACCCCCACAGCCUGGAUCAAAGCGAUCAGACAAAUUAUUCAGAAGUAACACAGCCCUGAAAUGUUCCUAAACGUGACUAUUUGAGGCGAUGAAUCAAGCGUGUUCCCUCCGCCCCCAAC